GAACUGAAGAGUUUGAUCCUGGCUCAGAUUGAACGCUGGCGGCAUGCCUAACACAUGCAAGUCGAACGGAAACGAUGGAAGCUUGCUUCCAGUCGUCGAGUGGCGGACGGGUGAGUAAUGCUUGGGAAUCUACCCAGUAGUGGGGGACAACACGAGGAAACUCGUGCUAAUACCGCAUACGUCCUACGGGAGAAAGUGGGGGAUCUUCGGACCUCACGCUAUUGGAUGAGCCCAAGUCGGAUUAGCUUGUUGGUGGGGUAAAGGCCUACCAAGGCAACGAUCCGUAGCUGGUCUGAGAGGACGAUCAGCCACACUGGGACUGAGACACGGCCCAGACUCCUACGGGAGGCAGCAGUGGGGAAUAUUGGACAAUGGGCGCAAGCCUGAUCCAGCAAUGCCGCGUGUGUGAAGAAGGCCUGCGGGUUGUAAAGCACUUUCAGUUGGGAAGAAAAGGUCGAGCCUA
rnacentral:rRNA from 1 species